AUAACUAUUGGAAACGAUAGCUAAUACCGCAUAACAGCAUUUAACCCAUGUUGGAUGCUUGAAAGGAGCAAUUGCUUCACUAGUAGAUGGACCUGCGUUGUAUUAGCUAGUUGGUGAGGUAACGGCUCACCAAGGCAACGAUACAUAGCCGACCUGAGAGGGUGAUCGGCCACACUGGGACUGAGACACGGCCCAGACUCCUACGGGAGGNAGCAGUAGGGAAUCUUCGGCAAUGGGGGCAACCCUGACCGAGCAACGCCGCGUGAGUGAAGA
rnacentral:rRNA from 1 species